rnacentral:rRNA from 1 species
GACGAACGCUGGCGGCGUGCUUAACACAUGCAAGUCGCACGGAGUGGCGAACGGGUGAGUAACACGUGGGUGAUCUGCCUUGCACUUCGGGCUAAGCUUGGGGAACUGGGUCUAAUACCGGAUAGUGCAAGAUGAUCUCGCGGCCUAUCAGCUUGUUGGUGGGGUAAUUGCCUACCAAGGCGUCGACGGGUAGCCGGCCUGAGAGGGUGUACGGCCAGACUGGGACUGUGAUACGGCCCAGACCCCUACGGGGGGCAGCAGUGGGGAAUCUUGCACAAUGCGCGGAGGCCUGAUGCAGCGACGCCGCGUGGGGGAUGAAGGCCUUCGGGUUGUAAACUCCUUUCGACAGGGACGCGGUACCUGUUUAAGAAGCACCGGCUAACUACGUGCAAGCAGCCGCGGUAAUUC